AGGCAGCAGUGGGGAAUACUUGCACAAUGGGGGAAACCCUGAUGCAGCCAUGCCGGCGUCGUGUGAAGAAGGCCUUCCGGGUUGUAAAGCACUUUCAGUAGGGAGGAAGGUAGUGUAGUUAACACCUGCACUUAUUUGACGUUACCUACAGAAGAAGCACCGGCUAAACUCCGUGCCAGCAGCCGCGGUAAUACGGAGGGUGCGAGCGUUAAUCGGAAUUACUGGGCGUAAAGCGCAUGCAGGCGGCCUGUUAAGUCAGAUGUGAAAGCCCGGGGCUUAACCUCGGAAUUGCAUUUGAAACUGGCAGGCUAGAGUCUUGUAGAGGGGGGUAGGAAUUUCAGGUGUAGCGGUGAAAUGCGUAGAGAUCUGAAGGAAUACCAGUGGCGAAGGCGGCCCCCUGGACAAAGACUGACGCUCAGAUGCGAAAGCGUGGGGAGCAAACAGGAUUAGAUACCCUGGUAG
rnacentral:rRNA from 1 species